rnacentral:rRNA from 1 species
UACGAAGGGGGCUAGCGUUGCUCGGAAUCACUGGGCGUAAAGGGUGCGUAGGUGGGUCUUUAAGUCAGGGGUGAAAUCCUGGAGCUCAACUCCAGAACUGCCUUUGAUACUGAAGAUCUUGAGUUCGGGAGAGGUGAGUGGAACUGCGAGUGUAGAGGUGAAAUUCGUAGAUAUUCGCAAGAACACCAGUGGCGAAGGCGGCUCACUGGCCCGAUACUGACGCUGAGGCACGAAAGCGUGGGGAGCAAACCGG